GGCUUAUCCACACCACGCUUCCCUCAUGCAGUGUGUGAUGAGAAGCGACGCCUCAACCGAGCAAAGGACUUAAAGGCGUCACGCAGUGGCGAUAAAAGUCGCAUUAUUCUGCACCAGAACGCUUUCGAGAUUCGAAAUAAAUUGACCGUCGAUUUUUCAAAAGCUUCCCGCGGUUGUAAUCGGUCCUUAUUUGAUCAUGCCCAUCACUUGAAAUUUUCCGCGUUCGCAGCGCCCCCUCUCGGUCAAUGGAACAGCUGCGUGACGUCAUACCAGUAACCACUCGGUGCAGUUGCAAUGACGGACACACCAGAAAAUAGGAGCGAUGCUGAGGAAAUUAGCUUUGAUUUUACCGAUACAGAAGAAGAAAAUGGCCCACAAGUAGAGAUUUUGACAGCUGAAUGUCCUGGUGGUAUCCAGCAUUACAGAUUUGAACCUGAGCGCUCAUCUUCAGAAGAAAAUGAGGACAGUUCUGACGACGACAGAAACGAAGACGGGCGACUUGAAGACUUGUUUUGCCCUGCAAUAGAUUGGCAACUUGCCCAGGGUGUACCCACUUCUCAGCCAAAGUCAGCUAGGAUUGGUUCCAGCUUCCUGCAUGACCCUGAUGGAUAAGCAUUCUAAAAAAAUGGAUGGAUGGCUAUUCAUAAACUGACCACGAGGUUUGGCAAAUGCCUCCUUGUGAACAUGCUGCUUAGGGUGGAUUUCCUCAUACAAGUACUGCUCCGUCAACUCAUCCCCGCUGUCUAUCUCCAACUACACACACACACACACACACACACACACACACACACACACACACACACAUAUUUAUUGUUAUUGGUUAUAAAUGAAGUGUAUCUGUUCAUUAUUAUAGUUUUUUUUAGAUGCAUAAGCAUUAAAAGUUUAGCACUGGAAAAAAUCUCACAAAGGAAAAAAGGCCUUGUAUAUUUCUAU